UAGCCGUAAACGAUACUCGCUAGGUGUCGGCCACGGUGCGACCGUUGUCGGUGCCGUAGGGAAGCCGUGAAGCGAGCCACCUGGGAAGUACGGCCGCAAGGCUGAAACUUAAAGGAAUUGGCGGGGGAGCCCCACAACGGGUGGAGCUUGCGGUUUAAUUGGAUUCAACGCCGGAAAUCUUACCGGGACCGACAGCAACAUGAAGGCCAGGCUGAAGACUUUGCCGGAUUAGCUGAGAGGUGGUGCAUGGCGUAGUCGUGU
rnacentral:rRNA from 1 species